rnacentral:rRNA from 1 species
UGAGGAAUCUUCCACAAUGGACGAAAGUCUGAUGGAGCGACACCGCGUGAAGGAUGAAGGUCUAACGACUGUAAACUUCUUUUCUGAGGGAGCAUAAUGAGAGUACUUCAGGAAUAAGGGACGGCUAAUCACGUGCCAGCAGCCGCGGUAAUACGUGAGUCCCAAGCGUUACUCGGAAUUAUUGGGUGUAAAGGGUCCGUAGGUGGGAAAAUAAGUCAGGUAUGAAAGACCGGAGCUCAACUCCGUGUUUGUGCUUGAAACUAUUUUUCUAGAAUCAGGGAGAGGUUAGCGGAAUUCUAAGUGUAGGGGUGCAAUCCGUAGAUACUUAGAAGAACACCAAAAGCGAAGGCAGCUAACUGGAACUGUAUUGACACUGAGGGACGAAAGCGUGGGGAGCAAA